CAAACAUUUUUAAAAAGGAAAGAUAGGUUUAGGAGGGAAGGAGAAGUUGAAAAGGCCAGGGCGGUAAGGCGGCUAAGGUUGCAUUAUCAUCCUCUGCUCUCUUGUUUCUCGAAUCCUAACCGUGUCAACUAGUCCGAUCCUUGAACCAAUAUCUGGGAUCUAAUCUUGUGUUUCUCCAUCAUCUUCACAUUUCUCAUCUCUGGCAAUCUCAGCUAUAAUCUAUCCCAAAUCGGAACAUGCCUUUUGCGAUGGAUGUCUGGACGGCUCUGUGCAAAACAUGAUCAGUAAUGUGCAAGGCAAACUCAGCUACAAUCUAUCCCAAAUCGGAACAUGCCUUUUGCGAUGGAUGUCUGGACGGCUCUGUGCAAAACAUGAUCAAGUUCAAUAUGACUGAGAAUCCCUAAAGCUUGAUAUUGCAUCUACAGGUGAAGUCCAUGUGCCACCUCAAGCAUUUUUAAAUUGUCAGAUCUCAUGCGCCUAAAUCAAAACAUCAUAAAGUCUUAUUCUAACGGUUUCAUUUACUAACUAGAAAAGCAACAUGAGAAACUCAUCGGUUUUUGGAGGAGAUAUUCUCAAAACCUAUUGCUGGUUAGCGUUCAGCACAAGGCUGCCUUGAGGAAUCCAGAAUGUUAGGAUUCUAUAUCAUAUCAGGAUUUUGUGCAUUAAUCUAAUGGUUAAAGUGAAGAAGCAUUGGCAUGAAAUAAUGCAUAUUCAUGUCACCAUGUUUGCCAUAACUUUUCCAAUAAAAGAACGCAAGGGUAACCAAAGCAACAACUGCAGAACUAAUGGCUAGUUUUGAAACUAAAGUAGCCAGUAGGUAGCUAUAGAGAAAGGAAGAAUCUACACUAUCACUUACCUCUCCAGAAACAAUGCUGAAUACCUGCUGUUGUCAAACCUGAUAGACCAAACUUACAGUGAGUGCCAUUUAUUGAUUUCAUAUCAUUUGUCAUAACAGCAUUACUAUAUAUAUACCUUUGAAUAUUGUUGGUAUGGAGGUUCCAAAGUACACAGUUCGUCUGGGCAGGUUCCAUAUCCAUGCUCUAGGAACAUCAAUUGGAUUCAGACUAGAAUCAUGGUCAGCAAAUACCUACAUAGAGAACAUGUCAUUAGCAUUAUCUAAACUGCAAAACUCAAAAGAUGCUUUAUAUCACCUGAAGGUGUCCUGCUAGCUUAUUACCUCGUUAACUUGAAAAUAUGUGCCAUUGAGGGGAAAGCUUCCCCUCAUCGCUGUUCGACAUGGUAUCUGUUUUUGACAUGUUAGAACAAUUGGUUAAUAUUUAAUUUAUAUGGAUUCCAACCUUCACUAAGAAGUCUUUUCAAGAGUACAAUUAUAUUGGCAAUAUUGGCAUGCUUAUUCUCACCAAGAGAGUCCCUCGAACAAUUUGAGAAUUUUCUUCCCGUAUGUUGUUGCACGAGAAACAUGUUUUCUCAUCACACAAUUUGCCACAUUCAUGUAAGCUGCAACUUCUUUCCAGUGGUUGAAUGGAGUUUGCUGUUUCGCCUAAUGUGGGUGAUUUUGCACAAUUGAUCAGAUACCUACAGAACUAUAGCCUAGACAUAUCUGAACUUUGCCUGCAUUAACUUGUUAUUGAACAUCGCAUGUAUUUUUCAAACCUGUGAUUUGUGCCUGCUCAUGCUAUAAUGGGAAAUGCAUAGGGUGUUCAAUUGAGCUGAGUUGAGUUGUUGGACUGUUCAGGUUAUUCUACUCCCACAAUUGAAAGAGCUUUUCUUGAUCUUGGCACAAGCCCUGAAUUGCGAGAUCACACUUAGCUUACUAGUAGUCUAUUCAGUGACAAGCGAGUCAAGCUUGAGCGUGCCACAUGGCCAGCAGCAAACCACAUGCACCCAAACCUGUUACCUUUGGUCUUUAUGAAAAUUUGUAAAAGAAGAGGGGAGGAAGAAAGAUUAAUGGUCAUCCAAACAGGCCUGCUUGCCUCAGAUGGAAAGCCUAAGACACAGAUUGGGACACACUAGGUGCAGCUCCGGAAUCCCUCAUCUUUUACUUCUUUUUGAUGCAGGAAUUUACAAAUUCCACAUUUCUCUUAAAAGUGAGAUGGUCAUUAGACUGAUUUAAAUAAGUCAUUCCUUUUUGAUGCUGGACUUGACUAUGAUUGUUGAGGGACAAUAUCAUUGACUGAAUGGAUUGCUUGUUUGUA